GUACUCUAAUAGUUUAUAAAAACAUU
rnacentral:tRNA from 1 species